UACGUAGGGUGCAAGCGUUGUCCGGAAUUAUUGGGCGUAAAGAGCUCGUAGGCGGUUUGUCGCGUCUGCUGUGAAAUCCCGAGGCUCAACCUCGGGCCCUGCAGUGGGUACGGGGCAGACUAGAGUGCGGUAGGGGAGAUUGGAAUUCCCUGGUGUAGCGGUGGAAUGCGCAGAUAUCAGGAGGAACACCCGAUGGCGAAGGCAGAUCUCUGGGCCGUAACUGACGCUGAGGAGCGAAAGCGUGGGAGCGAACAGG
rnacentral:rRNA from 1 species